rnacentral:lncRNA from 7 species
GAAGCAGCGCCGCCAUGUUCCCCUGGAGGGACGGUGCUAAAAGAUUGGCUGUUCCACGAAGAGACAUUCCCUCCAGGACAGCAAAUCUCUUCUUGCUGACGUCUGUGUUAGCACAAGGCAAUGAGACUGUAAAUUUGAUCCCCAGCCUCUCUUGCUCUCUGCUGCUCUCCAGUCUGUUGAGGUAGAGGUCUUUUCUCAUGAACCUCGGGAACAGCAGCUUUAACCCUGCGCACCUGAGCCACCAUAAGCAAGAUGGAAUCUUUCCCCGGUUCUAAGAAAUGGGAAGAGAGGUCGCCUGAAGAGACCUUUUUCCCAAGCAAGAGCAGAAAGCAGGUGCAAGCUGGAAGAACAGGGGAUCCCUCAAGUUAGACUGAAAGUAAAUAUGCCUUUGACAUCUCAGGGCUUCUGCUGCUGGUUUCACAUGAACCCAUGGGAUGGCAGUGUUUGCAGUGCUGCCCAGCUGGAUGAGGUCUCCUCAGUGCGUGCAGGCAGCUGAAAUUCUUGAUUACUUGUUUUCUUCAUGAACCAUUUUCUUCUAAAACUACUGGUAGCAGAGCUAACCAAGACUCCUGAGAACAGCAUUCUUUUUUCAUCAGAAUGGCCUGAAUCAUUAAAUAUAAGCAAGAAAAUGAAUUCAUUUCUGUAAAAACGUCCUUAGUCCCAGAAUGUGUAUGCAUGAAAGGAAGAGGUCUGCCAGACAGGACUGAGAUGCUUAUGCUGAAGGCUGUAACCACACCGAUGAGAGAAGAGUGGUUGAGAUGAUCUGUAGAUGUCAGAGCUGCUUCUUGCUGCAUUGUGAACAAGAUAUCCUGAGCAAAAGGAUUUAUUUUAAAACCUGUCAGAAACAACCUAGGCAAAGCAAAUAGAGAUGUAAGGGCAGAUAGAGUCUUCAUGGCUGAUCUUGAGUCCCAGAAAUCAUACAUCGUGGGAUGCUUAUUUGUAUUUUAGUGCACGGGGGAAGUAUAGAGGAAGAAUUUUUUAUUGAUUUCACAGGGAUGGGAGAAUCAGUACAUCAUCUGCUGUGACUGCAGUCGAAGCCAACUUGGCAAAGUUGUUUCAGUCUGAUUUCAUUCCACUCGGCCACACUCUGAUCAUCAUCCAUUAGUGUGCACUGAGAGCACAUGGGAACAGACAGACCUUGCAGGAACAGACAAACAACAAGCAUAGCAGUCAGUGGAGAAAUCCUCAGUCCCUGUCUAUCACCAGUGCACAUGAAGCUGAUGGAUCACUGACUUGAAGAGCCAGGUGGUAAUACCCCUUGAGGAAGACACUCCCUGGCAACUUGGAAACCUUGACAUCUGGCUAACCUUCAGCUGGUGGGUGUCUGGCAUUCUCCAUUCACUGCCUAAUUCUGCCCCUGAGACCAAGAAACACCGGACACCAUGGAUCACAGAGCCACUGGACCCCGUGAUGGUGCCUGUUCCCUUUGCAAAAUUCUGUGACUGCCUUGAAGCUGUGAUUUGGCACCACAAGCAAAAAAUCUGUGUGGAUAUGAUGCUAUAUAUUUAUCAAUGACAACUGUGAUCUGGAGACUAAGGGCUUUCACAAUGCAACAGUCUUUAUUCUGGAGGAGUUCAAGUCACAGAGAACUGGUUCAUAAGCAAAUGUUUAGUUUGAAAUAUGUCAGUGAAGCAUCCUAAAUUGUGAGAGAUCUCCAAUGUGUUGUUUAUAUAAAGUGAUAUUUUUGUAAACU